CUUACAUAGACUAUCAAUUCUUAGCCCUUAUUUCUGUAGAAGAGAUCUAAAUGGGGAUGGAGCUGAGACUCAGAUAGAUCUAGUUUGUGGAGACACUUACUAAACUCCUGCUUGUGUCUGUUAAUUUACAUGGAUGGAUGCGAGACUGAAGGUAAAACAAUACAAAAUAAAAACUAAAAAACUAUGUCCUUAAUCUGAGUUGAGGCACCCCAGCUACGUCUGAAAAAGCUUUGUGGUUGUAGUGGUAGAUGUGGGAGAGCACACAUAGAAUCCUGCCAUUUUCUGGCUUGAGGCCUUGCUUUAAAUUAAUAAGGAAUUGUUUCAUGGCAAGUAGCUUCAGCAAUAAGUUCUCAUGGCUGUAAGGAAUUAGUGGUUGUGGUCAUAGGGAAGCCAGUGAUAUCUCAAUUCAUCUCAUCACCCUAUUCAUGAUGACAUGAAUAUAUGUAGGGAAAACCCAGUGGCUCAGCAUUGAGACCCUCACAGAUCAAUGUUCAUAUAGGGUCAGACAUAUUCAACUUAUUACUUGAAUGGCUUAGUCAGAAAACAGCCAAGCUAUGACAGCACCAUUAGAAUCCAUUAGAAUUAAUGUCAAACUCUGGAGUAGCAGAGAACCAUGGCAAUGGAGAAACACAGAGCUGAAGGGUCUAAAUGAACUGUAUGGCAGAUCUUGGAAUCGCAGAGGCCACAUUGAUCCAUGAGUGCAGCUGUUCACAUAUAUGAAUCUCAUUAUACUAAGUGAAAGAGGCCAGAUAUGAAGGUUACAUAUCAUAUGCUUCCAUUGGUAUACUAUCCUGGAAAAGCCAAAACUACAGAGAUGGAGAA
rnacentral:lncRNA from 10 species